rnacentral:rRNA from 1 species
GACGAACGCUGGCGGCGUGCUUAACACAUGCAAGUCGAACGGAAAGGGCCUGCUGUUGUGGGGUGCUCGAGUGGCUAACGGAUGAGUAACACGUGAGUAAUCUGCCCUUGACUUUGGGAUAACUUCCGGAAACUGGGGCUUAUACCGGCUGGGAGCGCCUGCUGCAUGGUGGGGGUUGGAAAGUUUCGGCGGUUGGGGCUGGACUCGCGGCUUAUCAGCUUGUUGGUGGGGUAGUGGCUUACCAAGGCUUUGACGGGUAGCCGGCCUGAGAGGGUGACCGGCCACAUUGGGACUGAGAUGCGGCCCGUACUCCUUCGGGAGGCAGCAGUGGGGGAUAUUGCACAAUGGGCGGAAUCCUGAUGCAGCAACGCCGCGUGCGGGAUGACGGCCUUCGGGUUGUAAACCGCUUUCGCCUGUGACGAAGCGUGAGUGACGGUAAUGGGUAAAGAAGCACCGGCUAACUACGUG